rnacentral:rRNA from 1 species
UACGUAUUGCGCAAGCGUUAUCCGGAAUUAUUGGGCGUAAAGAGCUCGUAGGCGGUUUGUCGCGUCUGCCGUGAAAGUCCGGGGCUCAACUCCGGAUCUGCGGUGGGUACGGGCAGACUAGAGUGAUGUAGGGGAGACUGGAAUUCCUGGUGUAGCGGUGAAAUGCGCAGAUAUCAGGAGGAACACCGAUGGCGAAGGCAGGUCUCUGGGCAUUAACUGACGCUGAGGAGCGAAAGCAUGGGGAGCGAACAGG